GCCCAAAGUCGCACGUGCCUGUGGGUGUCCGCCGACCCUCGAUUUGGUGAGGAUCAUCGGUAAGGUACCUGGACCUAACCGCUCCAGUCGCUAUUCCGGCCAACCGGGAAAUGCGAGGACAUCUUGAAGCAACGACGGUGCGGGCCUUU
rfam:Shinella sp. 65-6 SCNpilot_expt_1000_bf_scaffold_1731, whole genome shotgun sequence.